UACGUAGGGGGCAAGCGUUGUCCGGAAUCAUUGGGCGUAAAGCGCGUGUAGGCGGUCCGGUAAGUCGGCUGUGAAAGUCCAGGGCUCAACCCUGGGAUGCCGGUCGAUACUGCCGGACUAGAGUGCGGAAGGGGCUACUGGAAUUCUCGGUGUAGCGGUGAAAUGCGUAGAUAUCGAGAGGAACACCUGCGGCGAAGGCGGGUAGCUGGGGCCGACACUGACGCUGAAGCGCGAAAAGCCCAGGGGGAGCGAA
rnacentral:rRNA from 1 species